GACGUAGGGCGCGAGCGUUGUCCGGAAUUACUGGGCGUAAAGAGCUCGUAGGUGGUUUGUCGCGUUGUUCGUGAAAACUCACAGCUUAACUGUGGGCGUGCGGGCGAUACGGGCAGACUGGAGUACUGCAGGGGAGACUGGAAUUCCUGGUGUAGCGGUGGAAUGCGCAGAUAUCAGGAGGAACACCGGUGGCGAAGGCGGGUCUCUGGGCAGUAACUGACGCUGAGCAGCGAAAGCGUGGGGAGCGAACAGG
rnacentral:rRNA from 1 species